GUGGGAGAGGAAGAAGCAGGCUCAUAGCGGAGGAGCCUGAUGUGGGGCUCGAUCCCAUAACGCCGGGAUCACGCCCUGAGCCGAAGGCAGACGCUGAACCGCUGUGCCACCCAGGCGCCCCUAACUUGACCUUUUAUAAGGGCCAGGAAAGACUUUCCUGAGAAGGAGGGGAGACAGGAUGACUAGCAGUCAGAGCACAACGGCUUGCUUCCAGGGUGCAUUUUCUGCCCUGGGAAAUAGCUGCUGAUGCUCCGUUGAAACACUUGGUUGGAUUCACCCUCCCGUCUGCCUUGGAGAAGGAGUCCCUCACAAGCACGAAUGCUGCAGGGAGCUGCAGGAUGGGAGCUGCGCAGACAGAACAGGUGUGGCUGCAGCAAACCCACUAUGCUGAGGGCACAUGACCAGAGAGGGUGCUCCCUAGCCCCCAGGCCGUGGACAUGUUUCAGACCAUGGACUCAGACAUGAUCUGCGUGUG